GCCGGGCAUGGUGGUGCGUGCCUGUAAUCCCAGCUACUCGGGAGGCUGAGGCAGGAGAAUUGCUUGAACUCAGGAGGCAGAGGUUGCAGUGAGCCGAGAUCGCGCCACUGCACUCCAGCCUGGGUGACAGAGUGAGACUCUGUCUCAA
rnacentral:SRP_RNA from 1 species